rnacentral:rRNA from 1 species
UACGAAGGGUGCAAGCGUUACUCGGAAUUACUGGGCGUAAAGCGUGCGUAGGUGGUUUGUUAAGUCUGAUGUGAAAGCCCUGGGCUCAACCUGGGAAUGGCAUUGGAUACUGGCGAGCUUGAGGUCGGCAGGGGUUGGUGGAAUUCCCGGUGUAGUGGUGAAAUGCGUAGAGAUCGGGAGGAACACCCGUGGCGAAGGCGGCCAACUGGGCCGGACCUGACGCUGAGGCGCGAAGGCGUGGGGAGCGAACGGG